rnacentral:rRNA from 1 species
AUGAUCCAGGUCCAUGAUGGUCAUUCAGUUAUAUUCUGCCAGCAUCACUGUAUAGACAACCUCAGCAUUCAGCAGCUUGCUCCAGACCUUGUGGUGCUUGUCAAGAUGAAAGGCCUUCCUUUAAGAAAGGGAUGGACAAAUCACACAUCAAGCCAGGAAGGACAAAAACUACCACCCAGCAUCAUCAACGGCCUUCUUGGGCUUGAUAAGGCUGCAAGCAAAACUAAAGGGCACAUAUCACAUAUGUUUGAGUUGCGGCUUGGCUCGCUCAUGAAACAUGAUGUGGCAUGUGGCAGAGGAGGAACUUACGUGUAUCACUCCUCUUCUCAUGCUUCAAUGGGAUGUGGAAGAGAAUCUCUUGUGAGCUGGUCCCAACUCUCCUCCCCUUCUCAUUUGAAAUGCCAGAAAGACCACAUGCGCGCGAACAGGGCCGCCCGCGGCGUACAGGACAACGGACGCGCUCGCGCACGCGGACACGCCACGGCCGAGCCGCCCUGCCAAACUAACCCAUUUGGAGAUGCCGACGCGACGGCGCAAGACCAUCCAUUCCCCGCUCACCUUUUCCCCUCGCCCUACGGCCAAAUUGGGCUAGGCUGCCACGUCGAAUUUCGGCCACGCUCUGGCCUCCUCGUUCCUCCUAAGGCAAAGCUAGCCCUCUUCGCUACGCCGGUCCACGCCACCCUAUGGCGGCUUGUCUUGUUGGCCAUUGCACCGGGAAGAGCCUGUGGCGCUUGGAGCGCGCAGCGCAUGCUGCUCCCCCGCCAGCGCGUCGACUUCAUCCGGCUGUGUCCCGGCGUCGCCGCCGCGGCGACGGUACGGUUCGGCGCUCGCCGCGCCCUCGGGAGCAGAGUGAUCCUCUGCCUCGCGUCGGGAGGCGGUCGUCCGCGGGACGACGACGGCGAGUUCGAGCCCGCGGACUCGCCGUUGGAUUCGGACGGGCGGAAGGUCGACGAGGGCAUGGCCACGCUGUGGCGGCGCAUCCGCGAGGUGGAGGCGGCAUCAGCAGACGAGGAGGACGAGGAAGAUCCAGAGUACGAGGGUGGCGUCGACGUCUUCGCGCCCCCGGCUGAGUGGACGGAGCUGGAGCGUCGGCAUUACGUGCUGUACGUUGCCGCCCUGCGCGAGGCACUCGGCGCCCUGUUCGCAUUGCUGGCGCGCGAGCGGCCGGCGUUCGGCGCGGCGGUCGUGGCGCUGGUGCUGCUCAGCGUGCCGGCCUCGGUGCCCCACGUCUCCGCGGAGCUGAUCCGGGCCGUGUACUCCAUCUUGGCCGCCGUGCACAACGGUACAAUAUAG